GAUGAGCGCUAGCGGCAGGCCUAACACAUGCAAGUCGAGGGGUAGCAGGAUUAAGCUUGCUUAAUUGCUGACGACCGGCGCACGGGUGCGUAACGCGUAUGCAACCUACCUUAUACUGGGGUACAGCCCGGAGAAAUUCGGAUUAAUCCCCCAUAGUACUAAUGAAUCGCAUGGUUUAUUAGUUAAAGCAUUGCGGUAUAAGAUGGGCAUGCGUCCUAUUAGCUAGAUGGUGAGGUAACGGCUCACCAUGGCUACGAUAGGUAGGGGGCCUGAGAGGGUGGUCCCCCACACUGGCACUGAGACAUGGACCAGACUCCUACGGGAGGCAGCAGUGAGGAAUAUUGGUCAAUGGGCGCAAGCCUGAACCAGCCAUGCCGCGUGCAGGAAGAAUGCCCUAUGGGUUGUAAACUGCUUUUAUUUGGGAAUAAACCUCUUUACGUGUAGAGAGCUGAAGGUACCAAGUGAAUAAGCACCGGCUAACUCCGUGCCAGCAGCCGCAGUAA
rnacentral:rRNA from 1 species